UACGUAGGGUGCAAGCGUUGUCCGGAAUUAUUGGGCGUAAAGAGCUCGUAGGCGGUUUGUUGCGUCUGCUGUGAAAAUCCAGGGCUUAACCCUGGACCUGCAGUGGGUACGGGCAGACUAGAGUGCGGUAGGGAGAUCGGAAUUCCUGGUGUAAGCGGUGAAAUGCGCAGAAUAUCAGGAGGAACACCGGUGGCGAAGGCGGGUCUCUGGGCGAGUGAACUGACGCUGGAGGAGCGAAAGCGUGGGGAGC
rnacentral:rRNA from 1 species